rnacentral:rRNA from 1 species
UACGUAGGGGGCGAGCGUUGUCCGGAUUUAUUGGGCGUAAAGCGCGUGUAGGCGGCUUGGCAAGUCCGCUGUGAAAACUCGAGGAUCAACCUCGAGAUGGCGGUGGAAACUGCCUGGCUAGAGUCCGGAAGAGGAGUGUGGAAUUCCUGGUGUAGCGGUGAAAUGCGCAGAUAUCAGGAAGAACACCGAUGGCGAAGGCAGCACUCUGGGACGGUACUGACGCUGAGACGCGAAAGCGUGGGGAGCGAACAGG